ACGAAGUUUCUAACUAGUGCCAAGCUCUCGCUCACAGACACACCAGAGGAAUCAGACUCCGGUCCCCAAACUGCUGGCUCGGCAAGUGCUUUUUCCCCCCCGCAAGCCCUCUCACUAGCCCAAGUCCUAACUUUUGUCUACACUCGGAGCUGCUGGCUUACUCUCAGCUGGAAACUUCGGAGACCUUUCUGGUAUCAGGAAAAGAAAGCUAGCUUUGGGGCCAGAGAUUCACAACCCAGGUCCCUUUCCUCCACUCUACAAAUAAAUUCCUUGGUGACAAAGCUUGUGCUCAGGGAUCAGGCCACCACCCUCGGGGUUAUUUUUCCAAACCCAGUGAUGCUUAUAAACACAUCCCUGGGUGUUAGUGCCUCAAUCCUGUGAUGUUUGCUGAGAUUCACAUUUCCAGAGGAGAAAACAGAGGUGGCUAGUUGUCUUGGCUGGUCACAGGAUCAAACACGUGAUCCUUCUGCCCCAGCCUCCUGUGUGAGGGGUCAGACCCAACUUCAAGUAACUUUUUAAAGGAAGCUUUUUGGAAAAUCAAGACAAUUGUUUUGAAAUAUACUGAAAGGAGAACUGAAGUUUCCUCAUGAAUGGAGAGCGGAUAAUCACCACAGCAACCACUAAAUAGCAAACAAAGCCAGGGACAGGGCCAAGAUGCAGGCCAGCAGGCAGGACUAUCACCAGCUCUGUGAGCACGCAUGCAGAUGCCAUAUCAGGACUUCAGCAUCUUCUGUUAGCUCUCCACCCAAUUGCCUUGAGGGAGAACCUGUUGACCAAACUAAAAGCUCUCUAUUCAGCUAUUCUGGCCAGCCAGUCAUCUCUUAGGAUCCACCUGCCCCCACCCCACAGUGUUGGAGAUAUAGGUAGGGAAGCCAUGACUGGCUAUAAAUAAAUAAUAAAGUAAAUUAAAAAUAAAAUGGGUGCUGGGGAUUUGAACUCUGGUCCUUAUGUUUUCAGACCAGAUACUCUUACCAUUGAGCCAUUU
rnacentral:lncRNA from 1 species